rnacentral:rRNA from 1 species
AAUAGAUACCCUGGUAGUCCACGCCGUAAACGAUAAUCACUGGACGUCAGCUGAGCGUAGCUCAGUUGGUGUCGAAGCUAACGCGUUAAGUGAUUCGCCUGGGGAGUACGGUCGCAAGACUAAAACUUAAAGGAAUUGACGGGGGUCCGCACAAGCGGUGGAACAUGUGGUUUAAUUCGACAAUACGCGAGGAACCUUACCUGGGCUUGACAUGCAUUUGAUCGCCGUAGAGAUGCGGUUUUUUAAGCUUCGGUUUAGACAGAUGCACAGGUGCUGCAUGGCUGUCGUCAGCUCGUGUCGUGAGAUGUUGGGUUAAGUCCUUUAACGAGCGCAACCCCUACUGUCAGUUGCUACUCAUCUUCGGGUGAGGCACUCUGAUGGGACUGCCUGGGAAACCAGGAGGAAGGUGGGACGACGUCAAGUCAUCAUGGUCCUUAUGUCCAGGGCUACACACGUGUUACAAUGGUCGGUACAAAGGGACGCCAAGCCGUAAGGUGGAGCAAAUCCCAGAAAGCCGAUCUAAGUUCGGA